rnacentral:lncRNA from 1 species
UCCAAGUAAACUGUGUGUGUGUGUGUCUUAUAUGGGAUUUGAGACCUGGGCUUUGUAGCUAGUGUGUUCGAGGCCACUGUGCAACAUCCCAAGGUUAAAUCCCACUGGCGACCUACCAAACAGAAGCAAAAGCUAACAUAAUAUAUAGAACUGAGUGAUAUUUUGUAGCUGGGCGAAAUUGUGUACUGUAUAUUUAUGUUUCUAAGCAUUAUCAGGUAUUGUCUACUACUAAAAGUAAAUAUGGUCUGAGGUCAUCUUGGCUGCAGUCAUGAUGAAAAUAAAUCAUUUAUACUUCGAAUCCAAUAAACAUUGUAUAUAUAUGGAUUAGUAGCUAGUAUUCAAACAGUAUGGGUUAAACAGGAACUAAGCAUUCUGAUUUCUUAUUGUGAGUUCUAAUAUUUGUCAUGGUGUUCAUGAAUUCUUUCAAUGAACAUGUGAAUUUCAACCACAGGAGCAUCAUAGAGAAAUGAAUACCAAGCAUAAGUAUUGGCCCUUGGUGAAAUGAGCAGCUGGCAGAGUCAUUUGAUUCAGUUUCAAAUCCCAUUCUUAGUGACAAAGUGAUCUUAUUUAGAACUCUUGAAGUACAUCUCCCAAGUAGGUCUGCCAACAGAGCUAGGGCUUGAUCCAGGUCCAAAAAUAAACCAGAAAGUUGUAGCCUGGCCUUGGCCUUGGCCCGACUUGUAUCAUCAUCGCCCACGCCCACCCAAAAAUUAAAUCCAGCCAGCCCAGGAACAUAUAUAAAUAGAUAGAAAUAUAUAUAGGUUCAGGCUUAGCAUGUCUGACUUGGAUGCAAUAUUGCCGGCCUUAAAUGGCUCGAAUCCAAACAGAAGCUUGGCUAGCUUGGUUGGCAGCCCUGCUUGCAAGUCUCUCUCUCUCUCUCUCUCUCUCUCUCUCUCUCUCAAUGUUAACUUGUGACUUUUCAUGGGUUCCUCCAAAAAAGUAGUGUUUGUACAACUCCAGUAAACAUAUAUUCAGUAAACCUAUUGAAAACCAAAAUUGAGUGAGCAAUUCCUCCCUUAGCUAAUGUAUCAGCCCCAAAAUUAGCCUCUCGAGAGCAAUGUUCUAGGUGAAUUUUAUCUCUUCUAACA